CAUUGGCACGCCCACACAGUGCAGAGACAAGGCCCGGCAGCUCGCAGCUUUCACGAUUUGCUGAGCCUGUUUCUGAACAUCCUGUAGCAUGGGGAGCAACAACCACCGCAGAGCGUUUGGGAGUACUGUCAACUAAGAAUGAAGGCUUUUCUCUGGCUUCUGGGGAUUUUCCAACUCUUGGGUCGGAUAAAGAUGCUUCUGGGAAGACUACCGAGUCACAAGAUCAUGGUUCUUGUAGCCGUCCUAGCUCAGCUUCUGGCAAAGUAGCACAGCCCCUAGAGAAGACAAUUGCUUCUCACUCAGAUAUGAAGGGUGGAUCAUUUGAUGCAUGGAAAAGAGAUGGUCGAAGUGCUGAGGAUCCUCCUCAGCAUGGUAUGGAGAAAUGGCAAGGGGAUCCCCACCAGUAUCACAGUCCUAAUGUUCCGCCACAGCAUUUUGAUGCAUGGCGAGGUCCUCCUAUGAAUAGUCCAGCUGCUCUUUGGUAUAGAGGGCCACCCGGAGGGCCACCUUAUGGAGCUCCAGUUCCUCCCGGUGGUUUCCCAAUUGAACCAUUCCCCUACUUCCCACCCCAGAUGCCACCUCCUGCUAUUGCAAAUUCACAGCCAGGUCCUCCUCCAGGGCCUGGAUCCAGAGGGCAUCAUCCCAGAGGCGGAGACAUGUAUAGACCCCAGAUUGCUGAUGCUUAUAUUCGUCCAAAUAUGCCAUUUAGACCUGGUUUUUACUCUGGUCCAGUGGCCUAUGAGGGCUAUUUUGGACCGCCAAUGGGUUAUUGCAAUUCCAAUGAACGGGAAAUUCCUCUUAUGGGCAUGCCUCCUGGUCCUCCAGUCUAUAAUAGAUAUCCAGGCCCAACGACUCCUGAUCCGAGCAAUUCUCAUGCCAGGAUUGGUAGCCACGGUUCUAAUACCAAAGCAAUGCAAGAGGCACUGGAGUCUUCUCGUCCUGAUGAUGCUAAAGGGCCAUUUAAAGUUCUUUUAAAGCAUGAUGCAAGAGAUGAAAGAGAGACUUGGGAACAUGCUGCACCCACCAAUGGCCCAUAUCAUGAUAGAAGCUCUCAGAGAUCAUUGCAGAAACAUGAGUGGGGAGGUGAGCAUGGCAGUGAGAAGGAAUCACAGUGGAGGAGAACAACAGGGAGUGGGAACUGUUAUCCGCGUAGCUAUGGUGAUCGAGGAGGUGAUUCUUCAGAUACCACAAAUGCGAAUUCACUUGAAAGUGUAAAUACAAUGAAGGUAGCUGAUGGCAGUUGGGCAAAGAAAUCAGGGUAUGUUGAAUCAUCUGGUGGAGUGCCUCCAUCUUCCUUGGCUCCUGAAAAGGUUUCAGCCCCUGCGGUGACUGCCAAAGAUUCAUCCUUGAUGCAGAAGAUUGAAGGUCUAAAUGCAAAAGCACGAGCAUCUGAUGGACGUUUUGAAGCGUCUUAUGUUUCAUCAGAAGAGGAUAUGAAUAAGUCAGAACUGAAUUCUAAGGUUACCAAUUCAGUAAAUGAAGCUAGAGGUGGUCUUAUGUCAUCGGAAAGAACUCAUACUUCUGUAACCACAGGGAACAAGGGUGGUCAUUCAAUAGCUGCCAUGUCAAGGAGGCCAUAUCACGGUGCGCAAAACAGAAAUGAUCAUCCUGGUAAACCCAAAGUUGAUAGUCAUGAUGAUGGUUGGAGAAAGAAGCCUGUUGCAGCCGGCUCAUCUGCCGUGGCUUCUGGAACAUGCUUAGAACCUGCUUCUAGUGUUCAAGCAUGUGAGUCAGGUCCACAAGUUGAGGCUGUUGAGCAAGCUUUAAUUGAUAUAAGCGCAAGUGUUGAAAAAGAAUCCUUGUCAGAAUUGCAUGAUUCAGCAGAUACCCAGGCUCAGCGCACAAAGAUGAAAGAGUUGGCCAGGCAGCGUGCCUUACAGUUGCAGAAAGAAGAGGAAGAACGAAUUAAACAACAGAAAGCUAAAGCUCUUGCUAAAUUAGAGGAAUUGAAUCGUCGUAUGCAGGCAGGUGAUGCUUCGUGUCAGAAGACUGAAAAGGAUUCGCCCGCCGAUGUUAUCAAGCAAGAUCUACAAGGCUCCUCAGCUCCUGAAACAGUGGUGUCCACUGUCAAACCUCAAGCACGCAAUGCAACUUUAGCAGCUCACGGUGACGUAAUUGAUGCUAGUGGGCGCAUGCUCAACAAGGACAGUCAGUAUAUUAAUCCACCUGUUGUGUUAGAAUUCGGCACUUCUAUUAUGGUCCAGUCAGAAAUAGCCAUCCCACAACCCCAGGCUUUUUUAUCCAAGCAAGAUGCUAAUAGGGUUUCUGCCUCUCAUGGAAAAGAGACUUGUCAGUCGAGUGAUGGGGGUCUCAUCAGGCAUAAGCGUACUAGCUUCAAGCAAAGG
rnacentral:misc_RNA from 1 species